AUACGUAGGGGCCGAGCGUUAUCCGGAAUUAUUGGGCGUAAAGAGUACGUAGGCGGUUCUGUAAGCGUGAGGUGAAAGCCCGGGGCUUAACUCCGGUAAGCCUUUCGAACUGCAGGACUUGAGUGCUGGAGGGGAAAGUGGAAUUCCUAGUGUAGCGGUGAAAUGCGUAGAUAUUAGGAGGAACACCAGUGGCGAAGGCGACUUUCUGGACAGUAACUGACGCUGAGGUACGAAAGCGUGGGGAGCAAACAGGAUUAGAUACCCUGGUAGUCCACGCUGUAAACGAUGAGCACUAGGUGUCGGGCUAGCAAUAGUUCGGUGCCGCAGUUAACGCAAUAAGUGCUCCGCCUGGGGAGUACGCACGCAAGUGUGAAACUCAAAUGAAUUGACGGGG
rnacentral:rRNA from 1 species